rnacentral:rRNA from 1 species
UACGUAGGGGGCAAGCGUUAUCCGGAUUUACUGGGUGUAAAGGGAGCGUAGACGGUGAUGCAAGUCUGAAGUGAAAGGCGGGGGCUCAACCCCCGGACUGCUUUGGAAACUGUAUGACUGGAGUGCAGGAGAGGUAAGUGGAAUUCCUAGUGUAGCGGUGAAAUGCGUAGAUAUUAGGAGGAACACCAGUGGCGAAGGCGGCUUACUGGACUGUAACUGACGUUGAGGCUCGAAAGCGUGGGGAGCAAACAGG